rnacentral:rRNA from 1 species
CCCUUAGAUGUUCUGGGCUGCACGCGCGCUACACUGAUACUUUCAGCGAGUCCACCACCUUGCCUGGGAAGGUGGGGUAACCUCUGGAAAGUGCAUCGUGAUGGGGAUCGAUUAUUGUAAUUAUUAAUCUUCAACGAGGAAUUCCUAGUAAGCAUGUGUCAUCAGCCCGUGCUGAUUACGUCCCUGCCCUUUGUACACACCGCCCGUCGCUCCUACCGAUUGAGUGUCCCAGUGAAUAAUUCGGACUGCAGCAUAGUUAGGAUCCCUAACCUUGCAGCGGGAAGUCUUGUAAACUUUGACACUUAGAGGAAGGAGAAGCCGUAACA